AGGACGAACGCUGGCGGCGUGCUUAACACAUGCAAGUCGAGCGGAAAGGCCCUUCGUGGUACUCGAGCGGCGAACGGGUGAGUAACACGUGAGUAACCUGCCCCUAGCUCUGGGAUAGCUCCGGGAAACCGGGAUUAAUACCAGAUACGACCACUUUAGACAUCUGUCGUGGUGGAAAGGAUUCCGGCUAGGGAUGGGCUCGCGGCCUAUCAGCUUGUUGGUGGGGUAACGGCCUACCAAGGCGACGACGGGUA
rnacentral:rRNA from 1 species